CCCUAACAUACGAACAGUUGCCCCCAAAAUCCAACUCCAGCUAAUUACCCCAACAAAAGAAGAAGAUUAAAUUAUGAAGAAGGGAAAAAAUAAUUAUGUUUGGGUCCAAAUAAAUGAGAAUAGGAACUCUUGGUAGCCUGUUAGCAUCUGGUCAAAAUUGUUCCAGCCUUUGGCCAAUAAGAGUUUUGUUCGAGCCGUUUCCACUCUGGAUAUACUCCUGUAUGCUCGAGUGGUAAGAUGAGUAAUAGGGAAUGUAAUGCUGAAUAAGUGCUCUUGAGUUUAAUGUUUGUCUCUUGUUCUGAUCCUUCGGUGAAUAACAUACGAUUCAAAAGCGGAUAAAACAGAUACACACUCGGGAGUUUCAUAAAGAAAGAUAUGUUAUACAAUGUAUUCAAACGUUGAUCGAACAUUCAGGAUUGGUACAAUACUAGUGGAAUUAAGCUUGUCUGAGUGAGGGAAUAUCACUAAUCAAAUAGCUAAUGCACAGCCAACUAAGUGAACAGGGAAGGGGGGCAAUAUCGAUAUCAAUAUCAAUUCCUCUCACUUGGUAAAAUUAUAACGUGACAGAAACAGAAUGGCCAACUAUGAAUAACCAGGAAUACGAAAAGAAAUACUAAUGAAUAAUAUUCAUCAGCCCGUGAAAAAUAAAAAAUAAAAAAUAAAGGAGAUUCUGGAAAACCACACGUAGGAGACAAGUAAACAGAUUAUACUUUCCAGCUUUCACUCCACAACUAUAUACUUUAUGGAUAUCAUAUAGUAAAGAGGAAUGGUGAAAACAUUUUCUUUUCGGGUUGCAGAGUUAAGUUUCACAGACCCACCGGGAUUAGCACUCGCCCUCCACCCUUGGUCUUAAGGAACAUGGCAUGUCAUUAGGUUCAAAAGCUAUUUGAAGGGAGAAACAUGUAAAGCAUUUGUAACCUUACUUACCAAAAGAAAGUAACGAAAAUAUCUUAGCGCUGAUUUACUUAUGUGACAAGAGUAUUAUGUGUCAGGAAAAAAAAAAUGGUAGAAGGCUAGAAGCUUUCGAAGAGGAACAAAAAAGUAAGAAGAAAGAGAACAUACAAGCAUAUCUUCU
rnacentral:lncRNA from 1 species